rnacentral:rRNA from 1 species
GGAAUAUUGGACAAUGGAGGCAACUCUGAUCCAGCCAUCCCGCGUGCAGGAUGACGGCCCUACGGGUUGUAAACUGCUUUUGUUAGGGAAGAACUCCAUCCUUUUAAGGGUGGCUGACGGUACCUUUCGAAUAAGCACCGGCUAACUCCGUGCCAGCAGCCGCGGUAAUACGGAGGGUGCAAGCGUUAUCCGGAAUUACUGGGUUUAAAGGGUGCGUAGGCGGCGCAAUAAGUCAGAGGUGAAAGCCCGUGGCUCAACCAUGGAAUUGCCUUUGAUACUGUUGUGCUUGAAUCAGGUUGAGGACAGCGGAAUGUGGCAUGUAGCGGUGAAAUGCAUAGAUAUGCCAUAGAACACCGAUUGCGAAGGCAGCUGUCUGGGCCUGGAUUGACGCUGAGGCACGAAAGCGUGGGGAGCGAACAGGAUUAGAAACCCCGGUAGUCC